CCGUCCCCGCUGUGCGCCGGCGCCAUGGCGGUGUUCCACGAUGAGGUGGAGAUCGAAGACUUCGAGUACGAUGAGGAGACGGAGACGUACAGCUACCCGUGUCCCUGCGGGGACCGCUUCCUCAUCACGCGGGAGGACCUGGAGAACGGAGAGGACGUGGCCACCUGCCCCAGCUGCUCCCUCAUCCUGCGCGUCAUCUAUGACCAGGUAUUCCUUGGACUGGUGUGAAGAAAAACAGCGGUUCCACUGGUCUUAAAGAACAAUGUGAAGCUUUUAAAGUGACCUGCCAAAGAGAGAAAAGAGGAGACAUGUAUGGUGUAUGAACAAAACAGGGGGCUCUUACCCAGUUUUCAGGUCCUUCCCAGCCACAGCAGCGCACCUUUCUGUUUCGAGGGGCAUUAUCACUUCAGGAAGAAUUUGCAGUAACACGUGGUGGCAGCAGCGAGUAGCAAGCAAGGAAUGAUGAAACAUGCCCAAGCUUCGAACACAACGUGGUAUUGGCAAAUUACUUAAAAUUGUUGAGUUUUAUAUCCAGCUUUGUUCCACCUUCCCACCUGUAUAUUUCUGCAUUCUUGGUGUGCAUAUUUGCAACUCCAGAUAUGACUUAUGCAUUCAUUCUGAGGGCAUUUUAUCCAAUGUGUGUAUCUCAAAACUUCCUACAAAUAGGUCAGAUUACACGUAGAAGCAACACAAUUCUUAGAAAUGUGAGCAUUGUAGCACUUCUCAUCCAUUAGCCAUUUAGUGCAAACUCUCACACUGUAUCUUGUGCCCUUUGACGGUUUAGGAAGGGAAGCUGAAACCUACAGAAAAAUGCAAAAGAAAGGCUCUACCGUGUUAUGCCAUGUUCUUACUCCUCUUCUCCAAAAUGAAGAAUUUCCUUUUGAGCACUCCUCAGGUACUGACAUCUGCUCAUCCCUUUGCUAUGGAGUCAGAGGCAACACCACCUGUGCUUUUCUAAACAAAUUGUUUUUAGGAUUAGGAUAGAGCUGUAUGUAAGAAGCAAUACUAAUGUAGAAAAAAUCAAGCAAAUCGUUAAGUAUGGUUAAUAUUUUCUUUUUUCUGGACCUUGAAAAUGUGAAAAUAUAAUGUGGUGAUGUCAGUAUCUGGAAGCUUUAUUUUGGGAAGUACUUUGUGUUUGGAGCAUCUGAGCAGCCUACUAAUCAAAUAACAUGGCACAUCUCUAGGCUCUGACUCAAGAAAAGACAUAGAAAACAGCAGGACACCUGACAAGAUGAAUACUUUUACCUCAUUUUGACACUUGUAUGAUAUGUAAAGUUGUAAAUAGCAGCAUUUUAGGAACAGCUUCACAAGUAGCUCAGCAGCCUGUGCAAUGGGGCAGAGCAGGUGGUUCAGGGACCACCCCAACUGGAGGUUGCUUUUGCUCUUGAACCAGUGCCCUGUGAAAUAAAGGAAGAAAAUCAGCAUAGAUUCACAGGCAUAGUAAAUAGACUCAAUUCUAUGAUUGAGUCUAUCUAUAGGAAGGCUGACAGCCAUUAACUACAAUGUUAAUUCUAAGCAUCCAUCACAUACCAUGGAAUUAGUGGGUUAGCAAGACUUCUCAUCAAACACAUCUGUCAAGAUGGGAAAACAUGACAAUACAUUAUUGUUUUAUAAACCAAACAAAAGGUUAACACCUGUAUAUUUUUAUUCAUUUUACAAAAAAAUUGUUGAUUGCGAUUGUCAUGGUCAUCAGUUGAAGAAAAAUGCAUUUGCAGCAGUGGUGAUUUCAAAGCUGUUUCCAUCGGCUUCUGAUAUCUGCGAUAUCUGUGAUAAGCGUGCAAGAAGAACUGAGCAAGGGCUGCUGAAGUACUGAAGUCCAGGAACUUCAGUGUACUACUUCUGUGUAAUGAUCCCAUAGGAUUUAGUGUGGAAAAACCUAGUGAAGGAAGAUUUUCCACUCCUCUGCAUGCUAAUGCAAGAAAUAGUAGAUGUGAAGACUGAUCAAGUUAGCAUUGUUGUUUUCUCUUUUCCUUAUUAAUCAUGGGAGAAAACUUUUACUCCUGAUGAAUCCAUGUUCCUUUCUAUGUCUUCUCAUGGCCUAUAUUCAUCACUCACACCACACCCUAAAGGUGUCCUCAGCAAGACUUUAUAGUAGCUAUACUGGUGUUGUUCACAUAAGUUGUUUUGCUAUUCUUGGCCUGUGAUGCACUACAAGGAUGAUUAUAACAUUACCAGGCUGUCAAGACAUUUCUAUUGGGUUGAUGGAUAAAUUCUGAACUCUAAGCAAGCAUGUAUGUAUUCCAGUUACACAAGAAUUCGUAUUGUCCAUUUAGUAUGCAAACCUGAAUCUAAAUGAUGGUAUAAGGUAAAGCAUGGAAGCCACAUGCUACUUUUUGAAAUUUAAGUCCUUAAGCUCCUUGGCCUCCUGACUGAGGUAUUUACUUUGGAGAUAUGCCUGUUGAAAGUAUGCACUGCUUCUAGUCAAAGGGCAUUUAAAGGGGAUAUUUUAAUGUGUGGUCUGUGAAACCUCCACUUUCACCUGGGAUGAGGGGUUGUCCUUGCCACAGGAGUCCCUGUGUGACUGGACACAAGUGAGGAAAAGAGAAGCCCCAUGACUGGUCCUACCUGAGCCCAAAGCAGUGCCUAGCCAAGGAGUCAGCGCCAUACUUCUGACCUUAUUUGUCCCAAAAAGGAAAGGAAGACAAGAUGCUAAAGGUGUGCCUUUAUUCUGUGCAGGGGCAUCUCUAACUUUUGCUGGCACAGUGUGUUUCCCAGUGCCAUACGCUGGCUAAAACAGCCAAAAUCUAACACACAUCAAUUGCCUCAUGCUCAGUAUGGAGCACUGCCUUGCAAGGCAGGAAGGCGCCAUAGACAAGGCAGUCACAGACACUGCCUGCAUUAGCCUUGCAUCUUCUGGAGAUGGAGAUGCUUCUCAAAAUGGGAAAGAGAAUAUAGCAAAAAAUUCCCAGAGCUGCUUUGGAUACUUGUUGCUUUCAGUAGCAUACUUAGGUUGUGUGAACAUUUGGCUUCACUUCCACCACACGCUAAGUUUCAGAACAGCCUCUAUCUAGUCAUGUGCUACACAAAUUUAGUUGCUGACUGUGAUGUUACUUUUACAGCACUGUUAGAAGAUGGCUGAAAAUGCAGUCCCACUGCAGUUUCAUUAGCAUAAUUGGCAUCCGCACUUGUAUGGAUUCAGCAUUACUGAAACUGUUUCAAAGGGACUGAUUAUGUGCUGCAUCCCUUGGAGCAGUAUUUCAGGCUGAGGUCCCCUGGGAUGUGGCAGACAUGAAAAGAAGCCCUAAAUUUUAUAGUGCUGUGUUAGUAUUUCUACAAGAGAAGUGUAGUAGAUAAAAUAAGGUUAUCAUGCAUAGGCAAUUACCAGCUUAAUGGGUUUACACUGUUCUUCUAGGUUUAUCCUGAUCAGUUCUCUAUUAUAGCUUCCCUUGAUCAUCUAAUAAGUUUGUUCUUUCCACAGAAACACAUAUUCAGAGUUUUCUGUCACUUGCAACCAAAAUAGAGUCAUUUACUAUAUGAUCUUGGAAAUAAGGUGUAAUAGCACUGUACUAGCUGCUGCUUGGGUCUGUUAGCAGCAGCCUUCUUUUGGACAUUUGUUUUCCCUUAGGAAGCAAAUGCCCAAAUGCAGCUGAAUAGCCGACAAGAAAACCAGAAAGCUGGAUACAAAGUCACCUGCCUUAGUGUCUCCAUGUCUCAGAUACUAGUUCAGCCAAGUGGUUCCUGACAAUGACAACAGAUUGUGAAAGCCCCAUCUUUGUACCUGGACAUCACUGAAGUUUCAAGGAUGUCCCACAGUGUCUCCCUCCUUCUCCAGCCAGUCUUUGUACUGCAAUAUAAACUUCUCAGGACUCCAGCCUUUUCCUUUUUUCUGCUCCUCUCCCUUUUCCUUUACCCUUU